AUAAGAAAUCUUAGCUACCUUGUUAACCUUUUACAAUCAUUGCAUCCAUGCUAACAGCAAUGGACAGCUUAUAUAGCUAGGCUACAACCACCAUGUAAAAAUAAGAUAUUUUCUGUAUGUUUCCACUUUCCAAGUGUACGUCUAGAUGAUGCUUGUUUUUGAGGAUAGCCAUGAAAAAUUCUCGCUGAACUUUGGCCCUGUCCCAGCAAAAGCCGUGAUCUGUGACUGUGAGCACACCCAAUCUUCAGUUCUUCA
rnacentral:lncRNA from 1 species